rnacentral:rRNA from 1 species
CCUACGGGAGGCAGCAGUGAGGAAUAUUGGUCAAUGGACGAGCGUCUGAACCAGCCAAGUAGCGUGAAGGAUGACUGCCCUAUGGGUUGUAAACUUCUUUUAUAUGGGAAUAAAAUGUUCCACGUGUGGGAUUUUGUAUGUACCAUAUGAAUAAGGAUCGGCUAACUCCGUGCCAGCAGCCGCGGUAAUACGGAGGAUCCGAGCGUUAUCCGGAUUUAUUGGGUUUAAAGGGAGCGUAGGUGGAUUGUUAAGUCAGUUGUGAAAGUUUGCGGCUCAACCGUAAAAUUGCAGUUGAAACUGGCAGUCUUGAGUACAGUAGAGGUGGGCGGAAUUCGUGGUGUAGCGGUGAAAUGCUUGGAUAUCACGAAGAACUCCGAUUGCGAAGGCAGUUCACUGGACUGCAACUGACACUGAGGCUCGAAAGUGUGGGUAUCAAACAGGAUUAGAUACCCUUGUAGUC